rnacentral:snoRNA from 1 species
CGAUCGAUGAUGACACCCUUGUAUGAAUUCCUUGGAAAAUCUGAACAAAAUGAGUAAGAACACUCUACCAUAUCCUCAUUGAAACUGAGGUCC